AACUGUUCUACUUUUUUUUAGUCAAACGAGCGGCUGAUGAGGUAUCUUUGGAAACCAAAAAACCAAGGAUUGAGGAUGAAGAGCGAGUGCGUUUGGAUAAGGAGCGCCUGGCCGCCCGUCUGGAGGGCCACAAAGAGGGCAUCGUGCAGACUGACCAGAUCAGGUUUCAACCAAAACAGGAGCAUUGGCUUUAACGUUUUCUCUUGCCUUUUUGCCAUGAGCAAACUACUCCUCCACCUGUCUACCAAUUAAUACCCAAUUACCUAGGCCUUCAGAAACAAAAGCAUCUACAACUACUACAAUUAAAGACACUAAAUGAUGAUCAAAUU